GGCCCAGGCUGUUUGUGAAGCAGCAGCUCUCUCCACUCCAUCAGAGCAGCCAGCCAAGUGUGGACCCUCCCAGUCUGACUCCUGAAGCAUUAGUCAGACGCCAGCCCACCGAGCUCUAGAGGCCACACAGGAAGUAUUCCAGCUGGUCCCAGCAAAAUUCCUUUCCUUAGUCCUGGGGUACCUUGCACAAGCAGAGAGCAGUGCACCACCCUACAGAGAGGCGAGCAGCCAAGCCAGCCCCAGCUUGUUCCUGAUGGGGGCAGCCGCACAAAUGCAGAGCAGCGACACUUCAGCAGAAGCAAAACGCCCAGCUGUGACUAACGAGGGCUCUGGUUCCCUCCUCGUCCUCCCAUCCCAGGCUUCUGGUUCUCUGAACUGGGAAAGAAUAUAUAUGAGUGCCUGUGAGUCAGGAACCCUGGAGUGGCUUAGCUGGGUGGUCCUGGCUCUGCAUCUCUCAUGGGGCUGAAGCCAAAGCGUCAUCUGAAGGUUUGACUGGGGCCAGCAGAUCUACUUCCAAGAAUGUCCUGGUGAUGAAGCAGAGCAAGUGACCCAAGAUGGAGAGAGCAACCAGGAGGGAAGCUGCAGCACCUUUAUAGGACCUAUUUUCUAGAGUUGCACACCAUCACCUCCACUUUAUUCUUCCCUUCGGAUUGAGUUGCUGAGUCCAGCCCAUACUUAGGGGGAGAGGAUUUAUAUCCCUCUCUUCAGAGGUGGAGCAUCAAAGAAUUUAUGAAUAUAUUUUUUAAACCCCCACAUGGAGCACAGAAUAUUUUUUUAAAUGGUUAUACACAAAACCACAAGGAAAGCAUCAACAAUUACAAACAGCAGAAAUUAUACAGACCCCAUUUUUUACUUCAAAGGAUAAGAACAGCUUAAAUAAAUUUUAUAGUUAUAGAGGUAACCACUAGACCCAAAAUUAAACCCUUCCAAAUUAUCAAAAAAAAGCCACAUUCAUGCACACAAACACAGAUAUAUAACAAAAUAUAAAAAAUUCAGAAGAAGCAAUACAAACAGAAUUCAUAAUAUAAAUUCAAAGACAGAAUCAAAUCUAAGCUUAUCUGUCAUGGUAAUUAUUACCAAUGGGCUAACCUUGCUUAAUAAAAGGAAACAACUCACAGAUUUGAUAUUAUGUGUAAGGAUAGUUAUUGUAGCAUUAUUUUUAAUAGUAAGUAUUAGAAAUAACCUUAAUUUCUCUCAAAAAUGAGGUAGCUAAGUAGAUUAUAAGUUCCACACAACGUGACAAUAUACAUCUCUUAGAAAGAAUGAGGUAACACUGUAUUAUACGAGAUAUAAUCUUCCAAAUAUAUUAUGUUUUAAAAAAGCA
ensembl:lncRNA